rnacentral:rRNA from 1 species
AAUGAACGCUGGCGGCGUGCCUAAUACAUGCAAGUCGAGCGAACGGACGAGAAGCUUGCUUCUCUGAUGUUAGCGGCGGACGGUGAGUAACACGUGGAUAACCUACCUAUAAGACUGGGAUAACUUCGGGAAACCGGAGCUAAUUACGGAUAAUAUUUUGAACCGCAUGGUUCAAAAGUGAAAGACGGUCUUGCUGUCACUUAUAGAUGGAUCCGCGCUGCAUUAGCUAGUUGGUAAGGUAACGGCUUACCAAGGCAACGAUGCAUAGCCGACCUGAGAGGGUGAUCGGCCACACUGGAACUGAGACACGGUCCAGACUCCUACGGGAGGCAGCAGUAGGGAAUCUUCCGCAAUGGGCGAAAGCCUGACGGAGCAACGCCGCGUGAGUGAUGAAGGUCUUCGGAUCGUAAAACUCUGUUAUUAGGGAAGAACAUAUGUGUAAGUAACUGUGCACAUCUUGACGGUACCUAAUCAGAAAGCCACGGCUAACUACGUG